AAUAGGAACUUGUUUCCUAUAAAAUUAUACAACUUUCAGCAACGGAUCUCUUGGCUCUCGCAUCGAUGAAGAACGCAGCGAAAUGCGAUAAGUAAUGUGAAUUGCAGAAUUCAGUGAAUCAUCGAAUCUUUGAACGCACCUUGCGCUCCUUGGUAUUCCGAGGAGCAUGCCUGUUUGAGUGUCAUUAAAUUCUCAACCUUCCAGCUUUUAUUAGCUUGGUUAGGCUUGGAUGUGGGGGUUGUGGGCUUCAUUAUUGAGGUCAGCUCUCCUUAAAUGCAUUAGCAGAACUUUUGUGGACUGUCUAUUGGUGUGAUAAUUAUCUACGCCGUGGAUGUGAAGCAGAUUUAUGAAGUUCAGCUUCCAACCGUCCAUUGACAUGGACAAUUUUGACAAUUUGACCUCAAAUCAGGUAGGACUACCCGCUGAACUUAAGCAUAUCAAUAAGCGGAGGAAAAGAAACUAACAAGGAUUCCCCUAGUAACUGCGAGUGAAGCGGGAAAAGCUCAAAUUUAAAAUCUGGCAGUCUUUGGC
rnacentral:rRNA from 1 species